UACGAAGGGGCUAGCGUUGCUCGGAAUCACUGGCGUAAGGUGCGUAGGCGGAUCGAUCAGUCAGGGUGAAUCCAGAGCUCAACUCUGGAACUGCCUUGAUACUGUCGGUCUAGAGUAUGGAAGAGUGAGUGGAAUUCCGAGUGUAGAGUGAAUUCGUAGAUAUUCGAAGACACAGUGGCGAAGCGACACACUGCUCACUACUGACGCUGAGCGCGAAGCGUGGGAGCAACA
rnacentral:rRNA from 1 species